rnacentral:rRNA from 1 species
AUGUUGUACACAAACAUGUCCAUGCGACGUUAUGCGCCUAUCAUCGUCCUGCAGCUGUGCAUCCUCUCGGGCAAGCCGGCGGCGGCCAAGGUCCGGGCGCUCAUCGUGUUCGGCGACUCCACCGUCGACACGGGAAACAACAACUACAUCUCCACGGUCGUCAGGAGCGACUUCGCGCCCUACGGCCGCGACCUGCAGUUGGGGAACGGCCAACCCACGGGCCGCUUCUCCAACGGCCGUCUCACCGUGGACUUCAUCUCCGAGGCGUUCGGCCUGCCACCGCUGGUGCCACCCUACCUCGACCCGAGCGCCAACAUGAGCAGCCUCGCCUCAGGCGCAUGCUUCGCCUCUGCCGGCGCCGGAUACGACAAUGCCACGUCUGAUCUUAUGUCCGUGCUCACGAUUUGGAAGGAACUGGACUACUUCAAGGAGUACGCGGCCAAGCUCAGGAGCUUCCAGGGAGAAGACAAGGCGCGGGAGACGCUCACGGAGGCGCUCUACCUCGUCAGCAUGGGCACCAACGACUUCCUGGAGAACUACUACGCCGUGCCACACGGCAACGCGGCGAAGUACCCCACGGCGGCGGCGUACGGCGACUACGUGCUCGGCGUCGCGGAGUCGUUCGUGCGCGCGCUGCACGCGCUCGGCGCGCGCAAGAUCGACCUAAAUGGGAUGCCGCCCAUGGGCUGCCUCCCGAUGGAGCGCGCCUUGGGCGGCGCGUGCACCGAGGAGUACAACGCCGUCGCGGAGGACUACAACGCCGGCCUCCGCGCGGUGAUCGAGCGGCUCAAUGGCGAGCUCGGCGGCGCCAGGAUCGUCUACGGCGACGUGUACGGCCCCGUCAGCGACGCGCUCGCGCACCCCGCGUCGUACGGGCUGGAGAACGUGGAGGCUGGGUGCUGCGGCGCCACGGGGCGGUUAGAGAUGGGGUACCUGUGCAACGCGCGGAGCCCGCUGACGUGCGCGAACGCCGGCAAGUUCGCCUUCUGGGACGCCAUCCACCCAACGGAGCGCCUCCACCGCGCCCUCGCCGACGCCAAGAUGAACACCACGCUACACGUCUUCCUAUGA